AUUGAACGCUGGCGGCAGGCUUAACACAUGCAAGUCGAACGGGCAAGAGCCGUAGCAAUACGGAGUUCUGCUAGUGGCAAACGGGUGAGUAAUACAUGGGAAUCUACCUUGGAGUCUGGGAUAACAGUUGGAAACGACUGCUAAUACCGGAUAUAACCGAGAGGUAAAAGAUUUAUCGCUCUAAGAUGAGCCCACGGAGGAUUAGCUAGUUGGUAGGGUAAAGGCCUACCAAGGCGACGAUCCUCAGCUGGUCUGAGAGGAUGAUCAGCCACACUGGAACUGAGACACGGUCCAGACUCCUACGGGAGGCAGCAGUGGGGAAUAUUGGACAAUGGGCGAAAGCUUGAUCCAGCGACGCCGCGUGGGUGAUGAAGGCCUUCUGGUUGUAAAGCCCUUUCAGUGGGAAAGAUAAUGACGGUACCCACAGAAGAAGCUCCGGCAAACUUCGUGCCAGCCGCCGCCGUAA
rnacentral:rRNA from 1 species